GACGUAGGGGGCAAGCGUUGUCCGGAUUUAUUGGGCGUAAAGAGCGUGUAGGCGGCCUGACAGGUCUGCUGUGAAAACUCGAGGCUCAACCUCGAGACGCCGAUGGAAACCAUGUGGCUAGAGUCCGGAAGAGGAGAGUGGAAUUCCUGGUGUAGCGGUGAAAUGCGCAGAUAUCAGGAAGAACACCCGUGGCUAAGGCGGCUCUCUAGUACGGUACUGACGCUGAGACGCGAAAGCGUGGGGAGCGAACAGG
rnacentral:rRNA from 1 species